UACAGAGACCUCAAGCGUUAUCCGGAUUUAUUGGGCGUAAAGGGUGCGUAGGCGGAUUUAAUAGUCAGAUGUUAAAUCAGGAAGCUCAACUUCCUGGCCGCAUUUGAAACGUUAAAUCUAGAGACAGGCAGAGGCUAGCGGAACUCAUGGUGUAGCAGUGAAAUGCGUUGAUAUCAUGGGGAACACCAAAGGCGAAGGCAGCUAGCUGGGCCUUGUCUGACGCUGAGGCACGAAAGCCAGGGGAGCGAAUGGG
rnacentral:rRNA from 1 species